rnacentral:tRNA from 1 species
GGUAAAAUGGCUGAAAUUUAGGCGGUAAAUUGUAAAUUUACUUAUGGAUUAAUUUUCCUUUUACUA